UCCACAAUGGGCGCAAGCCUGAUGGAGCAACACCGCGUGAGUGAAGAAGGGUUUCGGCUCGUAAAGCUCUGUUGUUAAAGAAGAACACGUAUGAGAGUAACUGUUCAUACGUUGACGGUAUUUAACCAGAAAGUCACGGCUAACUACGUGCCAGCAGCCGCGGUAAUACGUAGGUGGCAAGCGUUAUCCGGAUUUAUUGGGCGUAAAGAGAGUGCAGGCGGUUUUCUAAGUCUGAUGUGAAAGCCUUCGGCUUAACCGGAGAAGUGCAUCGGAAAC
rnacentral:rRNA from 1 species